AGCUCCAAUAGCGUAUACUAUUUUUGCUGCAGUUAAAAGCUCGUAGUCGGAUUUCAGAUUUGUUGGUUCAUUCUCAUCAUGAGUUGUUUCAGCAUUUCUUCUUUGGCGGAAGACUUCCUAACAUUAAUUUGUCGGGUUGUUCAACUGUCUCUUUUACUUUGAGAAAAAUUAGAGUGUUCAAAGCAGGUUUAUUGCCUGAAUAUUACUCUUGGAAUAAUAAUAUAGGACUCUGGUUCUUGUUUGUUGGUGAUCAAGUGCCGGAGUAAUGAUUAAUAGCGACGGUUGGGGCCAUUCGUACUGCAAAGCGAGAGGUGAAAUUCUUGGACCUUUGUAUGACGGACAACUGCGAAAGCAUUUGGCCAGGACGUCCGCG
rnacentral:rRNA from 1 species